rnacentral:lncRNA from 1 species
CCUUGGUGUACAGGAAGAAUCUGAUCAUACGUGGGUUUGGAGAAUGAGUACAAGGUUUUAUUAAGUAGAAGCAGCUCUCAGCAGGUGGGAGAGCCAGAGGGAGAUGGUUUUCCCCUGGAGUUGGGCGGCAAACUCCUCAGGGAGUCGGAGGAGACUCCGACUGCCCUGGCCAAACUCCUCUUUGUUCCACCAGUCGAUGGCCUGCCAGCAUCUGUCGUGUGCUCUUGCACUAGUGUGCUCCCCUCCACGUCCUCUCCACAUCCAGCCGCUUGUGUCUUCUUCCGCCGAUGUGUUCCUCUCGACGUCCAGCCGCUUAUGUGUCUGCCUGGAGGUCAUCUGGGUCCCUACUGCAGGAUAAGAUCUAUUUCCUGAGAUUUGCUGUUCUAGGACGUCUCAUCAUCUUCUAUCCAAGCAAAAGAGCUACAUAGCUCAACCCUCAGGCUACUAAAGAAACUUGCGUUUAACAUUAUCUGAAGGUUGAAACUGCAACUGUCCUCUUCAGAGAUACAUGUGUCAAUUUCUGCCGUCUGAGUCUUAUCUUCCAGGCCACCCUUUCAUAUGAAAGCAAGUUUGUAUUUCAGUUGCUGUUUUCUUUUAAAAGGUCUGUGCUGACCAAACUGCUCACUAUCUUUCAAUCUUUGUGAUCACUGGAAACAUUAGUGAAGUUACCAUUCUGCAACCCCAGCCACCCAGUCAGAGAAAGCUGAUUGAAUUCACUUACAGGUAUUUCUUUCUCCAUAUUCAGCUUCAAAUGGACUAGCUCAGAACUUUGG